rnacentral:rRNA from 1 species
UGGGGAAUUUUGGACAAUGGGCGAAAGCCUGAUACAGCAAUGCCGCGUGUGUGAAGAAGGCCUUCGGGUUGUAAAGCACUUUUGUCCGGAAAGAAAUGGCUCUGGUUAAUACCUGGGUCGAUGACGGUACCGGAAGAAUAAGGACCGGCUAACUACGUGCCAGCAGCCGCGGUAAUACGUAGGGUCCAAGCGUUAAUCGGAAUUACUGGGCGUAAAGCGUGCGCAGGCGGUUGUGCAAGACCGAUGUGAAAUCCCCGAGCUUAACUUGGGAAUUGCAUUGGUGACUGCACGGCUAGAGUGUGUCAGAGGGGGGUAGAAUUCCACGUGUAGCAGUGAAAUGCGUAGAGAUGUGGAGGAAUACCGAUGGCGAAGGCAGCCCCCUGGGAUAACACUGACGCUCAUGCACGAAAGCGUGGGGAGCAAACAGG